GCUUUGUUUCUGGUGGAGACAAAUUAGAGAGAGAGCACGGCUGAGAUUAGAGAAAGAAAGACAGAGUGCACGGCUGAGAGACCAAGAAGAAGAAGAGAAGGGGAAGGAGAAAGCCUUGUGGGAUACCAAGGUUUAAGUCAAAAAUUGUGGAAAAAUCAUCCUAAGGUCACGCGCCAUUGUCUGCCUGAUUUAUCUGAUAUGUCCAAUCCCUCUGAUUUGCUUCUGCGGCUAUCUGUGAUCAGGCGCGCGACCAGGCUUAGAGGCAUCUGCCUAGAAUCUGUUUUUGUCAGCCAACCUAUGUUCCUCCCGUGGAGGUUCCGGAUAUGUCAAGUGAUUAUGGCCAUGUGAUUUAAAUUUUAAGUUUUGUUUUCGUGUUUGGUUGAACAAGUCAUGCGUAUUUCGUAAAUAGGGCUAAGUCCCUUUUUGUCUAAUCUGUAUAUAUAUAAUGACUUAAAGAUGAUGCGUAUAUAUGUAUAUAAAAAGUUUAAAAUUUUUCUGUCUCAUAUAAGU